ensembl:lincRNA
CCCCUUUUUGAGUCUCCCUUUUGCACUGCCAAAUUGCUAGGACUUUCAGAAUUUGCUCUUUUAUCUGUCUGGAGCCUUUGAACCCUGUAGCCUUGUUCAGAGGCCAACUCUUUCUUUUGCCUUUGUUAACAUUUUUUAGUAAUUCUUACCUAACAUGCUGCCUCCUCCAAGGAAGCCUUCCUUGAUCCUCUCCUUCUUGCAUCCGUGCUCCAUCCUGGCUGGCUGCUCCUCCUGAGGGUUCCACAGCACUUUAUGCCUACACCUAUGUUAGGUGUGGACUUAUCCCCUAUACCCUCAUUGACUGCAGUCCUUAACGCUAGACUUUGAACUCCUUGAGGGUCUCACCUGUCUUGGCAUCCCCAGACUUGUUCUGUCUGUGAAAAGUGCUCACCAAAUGUUAUAUGAAUUUAUAAACAAUUUUCUUCAGCAUGGACCAUGAGUCCAGAAGGACCAUGUCACACAAGUCCUUCCAUGAGUUUAUAACCCCUUUCCAUGAGUUUAAGGGAGUUCAUAACUCCUUUGCUUGGAAGGUGUACAGCAUCAUGUAUUUCUCCAGAAGGCUUCUCUGUGCUAAGCCCAGUGCCCAGCACCUAACAGGUACUUGGAAAACACUGGUGAUUCGGUAAAGUGAUUACUGAAUUACCCACUGCGCUGAAUUCUCCUGUCCACCAAGUCCCCUGCCUUAGCCCUUAGCAUGGCCAAUGGAAAAUUAAUUGGUUGCAAAGUGCAUAUCUAAUUACAACAUCCCGGCCCUGCCACUGAGAUGUUCAAAUGUUAAUUAUAACAUAUGCAUCUCAGUAACAGACGGUAGCAUUUAAUACAGCAUUAGUAACUGCCCUUGGGCCGCCCAGGGAGUACACAACGCUCCCUUUCAUCUGCUCUUAGGACAGACUUAGCACUUAAGAGCAAGGAAGUCCUCAUCCUUAAAGCCGUCCGGUCCCUAAAAUCAAAUGUUUCCCUCCUCGCCCAAGUCCCCAGUUGAGGUCCCCACGCGGGGCGGCGCCAGCGCGCGGGGCGUGGGGUGGGGAUCGGCCGUCGGGCGUGGGGUUUCGGCGAGGCUCGAUCUGCUAUCUGGGCGGCUCGGGCGGCCUGCCCCCGCGCCCCGGCGGCGCCCCGCUUCUCCAGGGCCCGCCAUCCCGGGAAAGAAAGGCGAACUACAUUACCCAGCAGGCCUCCCGCCGCCCUCGUUCCUUUCAUGUCUUUGCACGUGGCCGGAGGGGAGGGCGGAGCCUGGACGUCACCCUCCUACAUUCUCUUUCCCUGUGUCAGAGCAGGGAUCAUUUUUUUUUUUUUUCCUUCCUCUGCUCCCUCCCCCCGCCCGCCCCUCUUUCCCUCCUUCCCUUCCCUCCCUCCCUCCCCUCUCGGCUGGGUUUGUGCGCUGGGGCGCCGGAGGCCCCCCCCCUUAGCCGCCGGGACGCGCGGAACUCGGGACGGGGGAUCGGCUCUCCCGAGCCUCCUCCCUCCCUUCUCCUUCCCUGCCCCCUUCCCCCACCCCCCCACCCCACCCCCAACUCGGGCUCGGAGCGGCGGCCUGAGGAACCCCGAGGUGAGCAUCUCCCCCACCGUCCGCCGCCUCCCCCCCCAACCCCCCAGUCUCGUGUAGUCAUCUCUCGUUGCGGGUCGAUUCCGGGACCGGUGAGGAAGGGCUCUGUGACGUGUGCGUGCUUACAGAUAAAUCCGGGAAAACCGCCCCAAACAAUUAGCCCCCUACCUCCCUACCUCCUCCUCCCACCCUGCGCCCCGGGCAGCCAGGCGUCCGCGCCCAUCCUGCGUCCCCGCCUCUGUCGGGGACGGCACUGUGAGAUCGCGCCCCCUCCCCAGGUUUGCCCCUUCUCAGCCGGUUCCCCGCCAGUAGGGGAGCCGUGGCCCUGGAGCUCCGCGUGCAGUUUAACUUAGAACAUUGCUGUCACAGUGGCCUUCUCUCAGAAUUACCGCGAUGCCGACUAUCGACCGCUGCAUGUUACAUCUGAAUUAAACCCAGGCCAGAGCCGUGGUUCAGAACAGUGAGAACAGACACAUCCUGAGAUCCAGGCACCCGGGGAGGGCCUUGCUGAUAAGCUGAAGACCCCGAGGCGCAGAGAGGUGAAAUGACUCACCCAAAGUCACAGGGAGCGCUUGGCAGAGUGGAACAAGAACUCCU